rnacentral:rRNA from 1 species
ACCCGCUGAACUUAAGCAUAUCAAUAAGCGGAGGAAAAGAAACCAACAGGGAUUGCCCUAGUAACGGCGAGUGAAGCGGCAACAGCUCAAAUUUGAAAUCCGGCGUCUUUGGCGUCCGAGUUGUAAUUUGCAGAGGGCGCUUUGGCAUUGGCAGCGGUCCAAGUUCCUUGGAACAGGACGUCACAGAGGGUGAGAAUCCCGUACGUGGUCGCUAGCCUUUACCGUGUAAAGCCCCUUCGACGAGUCGAGUUGUUUGGGAAUGCAGCUCUAAAUGGGAGGUAAAUUUCUUCUAAAGCUAAAUACUGGCCAGAGACCGAUAGCGCACAAGUAGAGUGAUCGAAAGAUGAAAAGCACUUUGGAAAGAGAGUUAAAAAGCACGUGAAAUUGUUGAAAGGGAAGCGCUUGCAGCCAGACUUGCCUGUAGUUGCUCAUCCGGGUUUUUACCCGGUGCACUCUUCUAUAGGCAGGCCAGCAUCAGUUUGGGCGGUUGGAUAAAGGUCUCUGUCAUGUACCUCUCUUCGGGGAGGCCUUAUAGGGGAGACGACAUGCAACCAGCCCGGACUGAGGUCCGCGCAUCUGCUAGGAUGCUGGCGUAAUGGCUGU